rfam:Triticum urartu cultivar G1812 contig1231945, whole genome shotgun sequence.
UACGUAUUCUCUCCGUUUAAAAAUACUUGUCUUACAAAUGAUUGAAAAUGGAUGCAUCUAUAACUAAAAUAAGUUUAGAUACAACUAUUUAUAAGACAAGUAUUUUCGGACGGAAAGAGUACGUU